rnacentral:rRNA from 1 species
UGGGAUAGCUGCGGGAAACUGCAGGUAAUACCGGAUAAUGUCUUCGGACCAAAGGUGUGAUUCCGUCAGGGGAGGGGCCUGCAUCCUAUUAGCUUGUUGGUGAGGUAAUGGCUCACCAAGGCAACGAUGGGUAGCGGGUGUGAGAGCAUGACCCGCGUCAUUGGGACUGAGACACUGCCCAGACAUCUACGGAUGGCUGCAGUCGAGAAUCUUCGGCAAUGGGCGAAAGCCUGACCGAGCGACGCCGCGUGCGGGAUGAAGGCCCUCGGGUUGUAAACCGCUGUCGUUGGGGAGGAAAUGCAAAAGGGUUAUCCGU